AGCGGGCUCCUCCUGCUCCAUAGAGUGUUCUGGGGGGGGGGGUUUCGUGCCCCAUAGCGGGCUCCUCCUGCCCCAUAGAGUGUUCUGGGGGGAGUUUCGUGCCCCAUAGCGGAGCCCUUCUAUGUCAGUGAUGUCCCCAUCGCCCCAUUGUAGAGCUCUAGGGGUUGCGCUAUAAAUCCUGCUAUGGGGUGCCGUGGGUCCCGCUAUGGGUCCCGCCAUGGGUCCCACCGUGGGUCCCGCUAUGGGGCGCUAUGGGUCCUGGCAAUGUCCCCAUUGGUUCCCAAUGCUCACAAUGGCAUCCCAUUGUUCCCAAUGGAUUCCUAUGGCUCCCCGUGGGUCCCGCUAUGGGUCCCGCUAUGGGUCCUGCUGUGGGUCCCGCCAUGGAUCCCGCUAUGGGGCGUUAUGGGUCCUGGCGAUGUCCCCAUUGGUUCCCAAUGCUCACAAUGGCAUCCCAUUGUUCCCAAUGGAUUCCUAUGGGUCGCGCUAUGGGUCCUGCUAUGGGUCUCGCUAUGGGUCCCGCCAUGGGUCCCGCUAUGGGUCACGCUAUGGGUCCCAGCCGCAUCCUCACUGAUUCCCAAUGCUCACAAUGGCGUCGUGUUGUUCCCCAUGGAUUCCUAUGGCUCCCCGUGGUUCCCGCCGUGGGUCUCGCUAUGGGUCCCGCCGUGGGUCCCGCCGUGGGUCCCGCCGUGGGUCUCGCUAUGGGUC
rnacentral:lncRNA from 1 species